rnacentral:rRNA from 1 species
UACGUAGGGUGCGAGCGUUGUCCGGAAUUACUGGGCGUAAAGAGCUCGUAGGUGGUUUGUCGCGUUGUCCGUGAAAACUCACAACUCAAUUGUGGGCGUGCGGGCGAUACGGGCAGACUGGAGUACUGCAGGGGAGACUGGAAUUCCUGGUGUAGCGGUGGAAUGCGCAGAUAUCAGGAGGAACACCGGUGGCGAAGGCGGGUCUCUGGGCAGUAACUGCCGCUGAGGAGCGAAAGCGUGGGGAGCGAACAGG